CAUCCUGUUCAGUCAAAACCAGACCAAGGAACAUUCAUGAGUCAGAGCUCUGGGUGACUCUGAGACAUGUCCUGGUACCUGUGGCUACAUUGGGAAGUUAAUACCCGAACGCCUGAGGUUCCACGCCUGAGGGUACCCUGAAACGUAGCACCGUGUCCCUCUUUGAGGAAGAGUCGCAGACCCUGGAACAGUCUCAGAUGUGGCACCUCCUGGAGUGGGUGAUGGGGACAGAAAAGAAGGGAUCCAAAGGCAGAAGCAACAAGUGUAAUUCUCCAAGUUAGACGCCAUGCCAUCCUGCUGACAAGGAGACGGAGUCUCCAGGAGAGUCACUAAACUGUGUGUGGCCCACACAGCCAGGAAGUGGCAGAGCGACUUUAGGGCCUACGCCAGAUCGUGGGCACGGAGAAGCUGGCGGCAUCCACUCACAGAGAAGCUGGCCGCAUCCACUCACAGAGAAACUGGUGGCAUCCACUCACAGAGAAGCUGGCGGCAUCCACUCACAGAGAAGCUGGCGGCAUCCACUCACAGAGAAGCUGGCCGCAUCCACUCACAGAGAAGCUGGCGGCAUCCACUCACAGAGAAGCUGGCGGCAUCCACUCAUAGGUGCUCAGGCUCCGUGAGACGCAGAGGGUUGGAGGGGAAACAUAUCCUCAGAUGAGGAUUUUUAAGUGGAUUAUAUAGUAAACAUCAUGGCAAAUGCUAUGGAGGAAGAUACAUCAAGGAAUGGGGUGGAGAAUGCUGGGGGUGCAAUUCGAAAAGGCUAGUCAGGGAGACCCCGCUGAGAAGAGGCCUCCACAAGACUCCAGGGAGGUGAAGCGAGAGCCAAGUGGAGCUCGGGGUCGGCUAUUUUUAUUACGACGACCUGUCUGGUCCCCUGAGGCCUUUGAGUUUGUGACAUUGCUAUUCACGUCUGUGGACAGAGACUGUGGAAACCGACACAAGAGAAGCAGAAGGAAUAAGGAGGCUGACCGUCCCUGCCUCGUGCGGUGACGGUCGGAAUUACAGGAGAUGUCUCACAGAAAGGUUCCCUUCUCCUCCCCUCGGACCCCACACACAGCAGAGGAACCCCUUCUCUGGGAGAGGCAAGCCUCGAGGGGAGUGGGGGAGGCAGGGGGAUAGAGAGAGGCAACCCAGCCUGGAGCUACAGGGAGGUCUGUGUGAUCCUCUGACAGGGCCAGGCCCCCGAACCCCACUCUGAGGAUGAGACCUAUAACUGGGAGCAGAGUGAGCAGGGAAAAGGGGGACGGGGAGGAUGUUUCACAUCCUGGCUGGCAGUGGCUUUCCCAUCUUUCCUUUCCUCCUCUGCCUCUGGCCCUGCCUUGUGUAAAAAUGUCACUGGGCUACUAUCCAAAAGAUCCCAUUGUUUCUCAAUGCCUACCUGCGUCAGGACCUGUGCUUGCUUACAGGAACUGCAAAGGGUUCCCCACUGCGAACCAAGAGGGCGGGGCGCACAGCCCAAGGUGCGGAGCGCACAGCCCAAGGUGGCAAUGGGGCCUCCUGUGCAGAAGGGCCCCAAAGAAUGUGAUCACUCCAGUCCCGGCCGGAGAAGGUGCCCCUAGUGCGCAAGCUCCCCUGUCUCCACUCCUGGGCCAGCGCCUCCCUUCUGCUCUGCUUUAGCGAAUUGUCUCGUUCUGUUGGCGCCGAGGGCCCUGGGCAGAAGGACCUUGGUUUGGGUCCCCAGCCCCAAGGGUCAGUAAUGAAGACAGUUGUCCCAGGUGUAGACGCUGAGCCUGCCUCUAAGGCGCACGGGAGGUUUACUGGAAUGAUUCUGGGUCUCUCACAGGAUCCAGGGAAGCUGUGGGAAGGGCAGAGCAGGGCAGCUCUUGAACUCUGGAGCAGUUCAUGCACUUGGACUCUGCUGUGGUUCAUAACCCAGCUCAGCGUCCAUGUCUCUAACCCCCAUGUCCCUCAGCCCGCAGGUCACGUUGCAGGACUGACUGGUCCCGGUUGGGUCAGGUAAGGAGUUGGUAGCACUACAGAGCUGGGCACACAACGUGGGCGUGAAUGGUUCCCAACUGUUGAGGACGUCCUGGAAGCGAGCUGUGUGGCUGAGUCUGCGUACUGCGUGCCUGAGCAAGCGGGAGUUCUGCAAUUAGCUUUCAUGUAGAAUGCGAGCUCUAACGGAAACCUACUGCUCAUGCAAUCACUGUCUCUCAGCACAAUCGACUCAGCCCAGGAGACCUGCAGCCAAGAGCUCAAGCAUUGGACACCAUCCCUCUUUCGGAAGCCUCAGCACGUACCGCCACUGUGACAAGAAACUCGUCACUGGACUUGGGGUCCUCCUAACGGGCUUCUCUCCUUCCACUCAUGGCAGCCAGAGGAAACUGUUAAAAUGCAAAUAAGAUCUGGAAACAGCCCAAGUGCCCCUCAGGAGGUGAGUGGAUAGAAAAGCGGUGGUACAUGUGCACAGUGGAAUACGAUGCCGUCGUAAAAAGGAAGGCUCUCUGACCCUUCUGCAAUAGCGGGAUGUGCUCUAGGCAGUUAGACCGACAGGAUCAGAGCAAGGACGAUGGGCCCGGUACAGCAGGCCACCAGGAUGGAACGCCCAGGUGCCUAGCAACGGACAGUCACUUGUACGGUGGGACCUUGGCUCCAGGGUGACUUUUCCUCCCCUAGCCCUUGGCUGCUCAUGCAGUUUGGAACCCUUGACCUUUCCUCCCAGAGAUAACACCUAUCCCUCGGUUGUAUUUCAGCUCCAGGCCCAGGUAAGCAAUAAACCCAGCCCUGGCUGACCCCAGGACCAGCUGCAUUGCAUGAUGACCCCCUGCGCUGCUGUCGGCCAAUCCAUCAGUGGAGGCCACAGCCCUGAAAGGACACACCUGGAAAACUGCUGAAUAUUAAGAUCUUUUCCCUCAGGUCUCCCCUAAAAUCUCCACCCUGAAAACCCUUAGGAUGGAGGACCCAGAGGACCCAGGAUCCUGAAGCACGCCGUGCCUUUCCCUCCCCGCACCCACAGGUGUUACCUUAAGUUUCCUCACCCCCAUGCUCUAAGGGCCCUUCCUUUACCUCUGUGACUUGUUUUCUAAGCCCAUUUCUUCUAGAGCAGUGGUUCUCAACCUUGGCUGCACAUUAGAAUCA